rnacentral:lncRNA from 1 species
AUCAGAAAGAAUGCAAUUCACUGAUAUUUACUGAACACGUACAUGAAAAGCACAGUGACCACCUCUUUGGCCGGGAAGUGAGUGCACUCAAAGCAGGAUUUCCUGGCAACUGCUCCAGUAAUGUCUUACUGAGAAUGGAGAAAUCUGGAGGAUAAGAGGAAAGAGGAAAAAUGAAGUCUUCAUGGAAGAUAUUUUAUCCAUGGAACUGCACACUGUGGAAGCCUUGCAGAACCCGUGUCACAUCUUAGGGACACACGUCCCAGCCUGCUGGAAAUCUGAAGAACCCAGUAUGGGGGAGAGGAAGCAGUGUGCAGACCAUCUAGUGACAUCCAUUAAUUCAUGGAGGAGGGAAUUGAGGUCCACAGUCUGCUUCUACACCCCAAAGGAAAAGGGGAGUGUUUUACAACUUAUUUGAAAUGUGAAGGACUGGCCUGGCACUUAGUGUACUCUUGGUUAAUGACAUGUGGAUUGUUUUAAUGAUGCCCAAACACUCUUGUAAAGUGGAAAAUAUAGGCAGCCUGGGGUGCACAUCAGGGUCAGCAUCAGGGAAUAUAAGCUCAUUAGUAGGUUAACACAUACCUCCUUUUCCUGCUGAAAACCAUGGCUGGCCUCCAACCAGAAACGCCCCUUCAUACUUUUGAAGCAGGUCU